UAUGGUGCAAAUAAAGAAAAAAACAUUAACUGUUUCACAAGUAGCAUGCCAGCUCCGAGCGUAAACAGUUAUCACAAGGCGUUUCCAUGGCUGGAUCCAGGAAAACGGUCCUCUGGAAUAUCGCUGAUACUGAAUUGCUAAAAAAUGACUGCUUUCUGAAGGAGGGAGGCCCGUGAUGCCGCAGUCGUUAAUGUGUAGAGCAUGACCUAUAGGUCCAUGGCUGCAGGGCAGAAGGCUGCUGCGUUCACUUACACCGAAUAACCCCUGAUCUGACAUCGCUCCUCAGAUCCUCCAGCCUGAGAUGUGAUCCUGGUCCUCUCCAGACCCACCCAGCUGAAGAAAACCGCCCGGAGCGACAUGCAGCCUCCAGACAUCGGAUGAUAGGGACAUGAGAAGCUCUCCACCCAUCCCGAGCUUAGAAACCCGGUGUCGCUAUUAAGAUAUCCUUUACAUACAGUAAACACAGCUUCACUGCUGCUCUGUGCAAACACAUCUCUGCAGAUAAACGCUCACAGACGCACAUUGUUCUCGUUCAACUGGGAGCAAAUAAUAACGUGUGUGUUCAAAAGGGCCUGUUUUGGCAUUGCAUCUUUGGUGGGUUUGCAAUAGAGGGGAGAGGGGAGAAAAAAACACCUGAAAGGCCAGCACUGUCUUAAUCUUGCACUUGUGCGUCUCAGGUCAAUGUCUCAGCUCGAGGCCACGGUUAAACAAGCAAGCGUGUAUCAUGUGAGAGAACAGGUAGGACGAGAUUCAGGCCCUUCGGAUGACCCAGCUCUCACAGCAGCCUACUGUACGUGCUCUCAUGGCCACUUCGGCACAACUUUAACCUGUGCACGCUCGAGCUGAACACCAAGGGUUUGGCAGCAUUUUGCAAACCGGCACAUCUCGACUUCAGUUAGAGGUUUGACACUUUCAUGUCGUCCACAGAGAAGUCAGCGGUGAUUAAAAGGGAGCUCUCGAAACCAGUCAUUAAAAGAAUGAGGGGAGAAAACAGUCGAAUGUCGGAGGCAUGUGAAUGCAACUCCAGCUCAUGGAGACAAAAAAAGACAGAAGAAUCCUGGACUGCCCACCUCUGCAGCGACCGUGGUGACAGAUGAAGGACGGCGCACUCCACC